CCAGUGUCCAGUGUCCAGUGUCCAGUGUCCAGAAAGGGUGACUUGGUUUUGGGAACUGGCCUCUGUGCAGUUAUUUCAGAAGUGUUGGUUCAUAGUUACUCUACCACUAUAUGGAUGCUGAAGGGCAACUCCAGGCUGACUGUAUUUGACUUCAUUCUCAGCUGGGCUGUAAAGAUGGUGCUGGUGCCAGGGUUCCUAGGAAGUGGAAAGCAGGACCUGAGAUUGAACAGCCGAUUGAAAUGUGACAACUCCAACAGUGCAGCAUUCCCUCCAUCCACUGGAGAAGCUGACCUGAGUUACAUGCGCAUUUCUCUGAAUGGAAAUACAUGAGCUGCAACCUCACCAUUCAGGAAGAUGUAUUUAAGAUGAUGCCUUUUGAAAUAACUCCAGAGGCUGGUAUCCCAUCACCAAGUCACCCCUUUUUCACACAUGGGGAGUCCUUGACACUGGAUCCAGGUCCUUCAGAGCCAGCUCUCAGAGAACAGAACCUCAGACACUCCUGAUUAUAUCUGUCAGCCAGUGCUUCCUGACUGGGGCUGUUAAUCUGGUCCAAUCAGGGAAUUCCUAUUCUGAGGUCAGCCUUGUUGACCUUGUUGCAAUCAUGACACCUUUCUUUAUGUAAAAGAAUGUGUUUGUAAUUUGAAAAUUGCUAAACUUAUGACAAUUUAAAAACUGUGGUGUUAAU